UACGUAGGCAGCAAGCGUUGUUCGGAGUUACUGGGCGUAAAGGGUGCGUAGGCGGCCUUCUAAGUCUGGUGUGAAAUCUCCCGGCUUAACUGGGAGGGUGCGCUAUAGACUGUGGGGCUAGAGUGUGGGAGAGGAAAGUGGAAUUCCUGGUGUAGCGGUGAAAUGCGUAGAUAUCAGGAGGAACACCGGUGGUGUAAACGGCUUUCUGGACCAUAACUGACGCUGAGGCACGAAAGCGUGGGUAGCAAACAGG
rnacentral:rRNA from 1 species